rnacentral:rRNA from 1 species
UACAUGGGGUGCAAGCGUUGCUCGGAAUUAUUGGGCGUAAAGCGCGCGUAGGCGGUUACUCAAGUCGGAUGUGAAAGCCCUCGGCUUAACUGAGGAAGUGCACCCGAAACUGAGUAGCUAGAGUACUAAAGAGGGUCGCGGAAUUCCCGGUGUAGAGGUGAAAUUCGUAGAUAUCGGGAGGAACACCGGUGGCGAAGGCGGCGUCCUGGGUAGAGACUGACGCUGAGGCGCGAAAGCGUGGGGAGCAAACAGG